AAUGGUCAAUCAUUGCAAAACGAUGACUGCAAGGGGAAUAGAGAAGGGGCCGUAAUUUUUAAUUAUCGCCUUCCUAAGAACACUGUUGGUUGCCAAAGUUUACAAGUGACCCUGUUUAUCAUCCUGAAUCUGGGUAGGGGGGAGGAAGGAGUAUUUCACGAAGCCGUUUUGAUCCAAAGCCAGUCACUCUGGAAGAUAGGUGCAGAGGAAGAGAACGUAUUUAACUCUCUGAAAAGCGUCAAUAUUGAGUGGGAGAGCAGAAGAUUUCGGCUCCUGGAGCAAAACUGCCAAGAAAACACUGCGGAAACCUGGGCAGAUUCCUGCUGAAUGGCGCUCACAGUAGCGGGACCACAGGAAGUCCUCAUCCAGGUUCUCUUUUAG
rnacentral:lncRNA from 1 species